rnacentral:rRNA from 1 species
AGAUUAAGCCAUGCAAGUGUCAGCUCAAGCCGUACUAUGGUUAAGCCGCGGAAAGCUCAUUACAACAGCCAUUGUUCACUUGAUCUCUACUUGGAUAACUGUGGUAAUUCUAGAGCUAAUACAUGCAACAAUGCUCUAGCCUUUCGGGGCGAGCGCAGUUAUUAGAACAAAACCAAUCGGGCUUCGGUUUGGUGGAUCUGAAUAACUCAGCUGAUCGCACAGUCUUCGUACUGGCGACGAAUCUUUCUCUGCCUUAUCAGCUGUCGAUGGUAGUCUACGUGGCUACCAUGGCUGUAACGGGUAACGGAGAAUAAGGGUUCGACUCCGGAGAGGGAGCCUGAGAAACGGCUACCACAUCCAAGGAAG